GGGGGGGGGGGGGGGGGGGCUGGUGCGUGGAAGGCGAGGGGACAGCCGCGGAGCGUGCGCCUCUGACGUUGGCGGCGGACGGGGGAGUAACACGUGGCUAACCUACCUAUCAGGCUGGGAUAACUUCGGGAAACCGGAGCUAAUACCGGAUAAUAUAUUGCACCGCUUGGGUCAAUAGUGAAAGCAGGGUUUGCGGUCACUUAUAGAUGGAUCCGCGCCGCACUAGCGAGGUGGUCACGUCACGGCUUACCAAGCCAACGACGCGUGGCCGACCUGAGAGGGUGGUCGGCCACACUGGAACUGAGCCACGGUCCAGACUCCUACGGGAGGCAGCAGUAGGGAAUCUUCCGCAAUGGGCGAAAGCCUGACGGAGCAACGCCGCGUGAGUGAUGAAGGUCUUCGGAUCGUAAAACUCUGUUAUUAGGGAAGAACAAAUGUGUAAGUAACUAUGCACGUCUUGACGGUACCUAAUCAGAAAGCCACGGCUAACUACGUG
rnacentral:rRNA from 1 species